CCCUCAGUGACCCCUUUUCUUAGAUCUGCACUUGUUUCUUAUGAUGCUUGUUUGAGAUCGAUUGUGAAUUAAUCGACUAAUGGCGUACUUAGAUCUAAGUCUUUACGACAGGACUUAAAAUAUGCAAAUUAGGUGAUCAAUUUUUAGGUAAUACUAACAACGUCCCGAAAAAUUAUUGUGAACGAUUGCGAUACUCCAAAUUUUUUUCCCAAUAAAUAAACCAUUAAAUUGGGUUGAUUGGAUGUUGAGCACAAUAAUUGGCUAAAAUUACCGAGAAGUCUGUAUUUAAAAACAGUUCGGCGACGUAACGCCAGACGAGAAGAGAGAAGCACCG